GUCCACAUAGUGUAACGGUAACACCCCUUGAUUGCUUACAUCAUGCCAUCUCUUGAACAUCAAGGUGCCGUGGGUUCAACUCCCCCUGUGGACA